rnacentral:rRNA from 1 species
AACGAACGCUGGCGGCAUGCCUAACACAUGCAAGUCGAACGAGACCUUCGGGUCUAGUGGCGCACGGGUGCGUAACGCGUGGGAACCUGCCCUUAGGUUCGGAGUAACUCCCCGAAAGGGGUGCUAAUACCGGAUAAUGUCUUCGGACCAAAGAUUUAUCGCCUUUGGAUGGGCCCGCGUUGGAUUAGCUAGUUGGUAGGGUAAAAGCCUACCAAGGCGACGAUCCAUAGCUGGUCUGAGAGGAUGAUCAGCCACACUGGGACUGAGACACGGCCCAGACUCCUACGGGAGGCAGCAGUGGGGAAUAUUGGACAAUGGGCGAGAGCCUGAUCCAGCAAUGCCGCGUGAGUGAUGAAGGCCUUAGGGUUGUAAAGCUCUUUUACCCGGGAUGAUAAUGACAGUACCGGGAGAAUAAGCUCCGGCUAACUCCGUG